rnacentral:rRNA from 1 species
UACAGAGGGGGCAAGCGUUGUUCGGAAUUACUGGGCGUAAAGGGCGCGUAGGCGGCCUCCGCAAGUCAGUUGUGAAAUCUCCGAGCUUAACUCGGAAAGGUCAACUGAUACUGCGGGGCUAGAGUGCGGAAGGGGCAACUGGAAUUCUUGGUGUAGCGGUGAAAUGCGUAGAUAUCAAGAGGAACACCUGCGGCGAAGGCGGGUUGCUGGGCCGACACUGACGCUGAGGCGCGAAAGCCAGGGGAGCAAACGGG